rnacentral:lncRNA from 1 species
AUGUAUCCACGUACAGAGGAUCGUUCUUCACUUGAUUGCUACAGUUCAAGUAUAUUACGUGCUCAACCAGAGAUUGACCGUUACCCAAUUCAUAUGGAUCCCCGUGGAUAACUCAUACCUCGGAUCACCGCAGUUUGCUGGAUCAUUCUGAAGUCGAAAAGGAUGUUUUAUGUUUCUGAUUGUGCCACAUGAUGAGGAUGGACAAUAUGUUUGGUUAUUAGUAAUAGUAAUUGCAUAACAUCUUUGAUGAUGAUGAUCAUGAAAUAGCAACACAACAACUACCAUGAAUUUUUGGAGCAAGGAUAAUGGUUCCACAGAGGAGGAAGAGAAUUUUUCUCUGCACUUCAUUGAUGCUCCAAAUUCACUCUCAAUGUAGAGCAACCGACUUGUAUAUCUUAAAAGGGAACAUGUAU